rnacentral:rRNA from 1 species
GACGAACGCUGGCGGCGUGCUUAACACAUGCAAGUCGAGCGGUAAGGCCCUUUCGGGGGUACGACGAGCGGCGAACGGGUGAGUAACACGUGGGUGACCUGCCCUCAGCUCUGGGAUAAGCCUGGGAAACCGGGUCUAAUACUGGAUAUGACUCCAUGACGCAUGUUGUGGGGUGGAAAGCCUUGUGCGGCUGAGGAUGGGCCCGCGGCCUAUCAGCUUGUUGGUGGGGUGANGGCCUACCAAGGCGACGACGGGUAGCCGGCCUGAGAGGGCGACCGGCCGACACUGGGACUGAGACACGGCCCAGACUCCUACGGGAGGCAGCAGUGGGGAAUCUUGCGCAAUGGGCGAAAGCCUGACGCAGCGACGCCGCGUGAGGGAU